rnacentral:rRNA from 1 species
CCUACGGGUGGCAGCAGUGAGGAAUAUUGGUCAAUGGCCGGGAGCCUGAACCAGCCAAGUCGCGUGAGGGAUGACGGCCCUACGGGUUGUAAACCUCUUUUGUCAGGGAAUAAAGUGCGGGACGGGUGCCUUUUUGAGUGUACUUUAUGAAUAAGCAUCGGCUAACUCCGUGCCAGCAGCCGCGGUAAUACGGAGGAUUCGAGCGUUAUCCGGAUUUAUUGGGUUUAAAGGGAGCGUAGGUGGGAGGUUAAGUCAGUCGUGAAAGUUGGGGGCUCAACCCCAGAAUCGCAAUUGAUCCUGGCAGCCUUGAGUACGGGAGGGGUAGGCGGAAUGCGUGGUGUAGCGGUGAAAUGCUUAGAUAUCACGCAGAACUCCGAUCGCGAAGGCAGCCUACCAGCGCGCCACUGACACUGAUGCACGAAAGCGUGGGUAUCGAACAGGAUUAGAUACCCUUGUAGUC